AGAGAGGGGUCGGCCUGCAGACUACCGCAGUGACCCGGUCCGCUGGUGUUGCUGCUGCUUCUGCUGCCCGUCCGGACCCCAGCUCCGGCUCCCUGUGCUUCCUUCUCCCUCCUCCGGUUUCCAAUACAAACACCACGGUGCGUGAAACUAGUGAAUAUGAUGCAUUGGCGCACACCAAAAGCCCCGCAGCUCACUUCUGGAGCGCGGUUAGAUAAUCCUCAGGGACACUUCAGAGAAUAUAAAGGACAACAAAAAGCCUCAGUGAGCGUCUAUCUGUGAAAAUCUACUUAAAUGAAGGUUACAUAAACGCUAUCUAUCCAUGACAGCCGUCAGUGUACGUGUGUGCGCGGGACCACACGGUCGCAUCGCUCGGUGCGUUUCCUCUGGCCAGUCCCUCCUUAAAUAUCGCCUUCCACCCGGUGACUGCUGCUUUUUGUGCCUCCUGUGCGUGUGAGAGAGAGGGAGGGAGGGAGUAUAUCCUACUGACGGGGGGGGGCGUGCGUCUCUUUCCGUCCGGAGCUCCAAACCAAACCGUAUCCGGGCUCGGGCUUCCUAUCCGAGGCUGAGUCGGCGGCGUCCUGUGGAUCCGAAAAGAGCCGGGCGAGCUCCCAGCAUGCUUCCCAGCCGUAAUGGCCGCUUCUGUCCGAGGCUUUGCGGCCCCUGGGUCCGUGUGAAUGUGUGUGCGUGUGUCUCUCUCCCUCCUAUGCUCAGGUUUCUCGGUCCUUCCUGCAGUGGCUGUCUUCCAUCCCUCUCUACCGGCCGCGCCAGGAACCUCCGCCACAGGAAUUUGUAGAGCCGGUGGGGAAGAGCUAGCUAGCCUAGCUGAACAGGUGGAAAAUGGAGCUGGAGCGCCCUCAGACGGAGAUAGUGGCUCAGUGACAAAUCUUGUUCAGGUGUUUUAAAAUAUUGUUUAUUAUUUUCUACUGUAACGGACGUUAAACCAGUUUACUAAAGCAAUAACCCCCUGAUUGAAAACUACUUGUAGCAUGCUAACACUUAACGUUAACUGAAAAUCUAUACCAGGGAUGUCAAACUCAUUUUGUAUCGUGGGCCACAUACAACCCCGUUUUUGUCAGACUAAAUACAUUUAACCCCAUUUAAUAUAAUAAAAAGAAGGGGAAUUUCUUCUUUUUUCAUUUUUACUCCAAGAUGAAGAAAUUCUGCUUCAGUAAAUGAAAGAAAACUGUCGGCACAAUUAACUAAUGUGUAAAAUUACAGAAAGUUCUGGUACCUCAUUUCCCAUUCACAUUUAUUCACAUAGCGGAAAAAACAGGACAUUUUCUCCAUUUUAAUUCUUAUUGUUUAUCUAUUUACUUUGGUGUGGUAUGAAGAGCCAUGGUGGUCUUUAUAUGUAGGAAAAGCUGUAAAACCAAUGCAAAUACAGUUAAAAGUAAAAAAUCUAUGAGCUCAUUCACAAUUUCCAAAGUAGUCCAGGGGCUCCAUGGUCUUCGGUGGGCCGAUUCUGGCCCCCGGGCCUUAUGUUUGACAUUUGUGAUCUAUAAGUUCUGUUUUAAUUAAAUUUGUCAGUUUUUAACAUUUUGUUUGUUUGUUUUGCAAAAGGCACAUACAUGUUAAAGUCCCCCACAACUCAAGAGAAGUCCUUUUGUAUUUUUAUGUCUCUCUCUGAUCAUUUUUCAGCAUAACUUCGAACUUUGUUUUAGUCAUUUUGUAUAUUUUUCUGCUUGUUUUCAGUUUCUUUUUAGAAAUCUUUUUGUCUUUUUGGUGGUUUUGAUUUUUCCUUCAAUAGUGAUAUUUUAUUUCAGUUUAUUUCAGUGAUCUGAAUCACUUCACAGUCUGUUUGUCAUUUGUGUCUUUUUGCAGUUCCCUGAUUUCACCCCCAUAAUCUAAUAUUAACAGAAGGUCUGUCUCAAAAGCUCCCUGAUCCCUUGUGGUCCCUGCAGGCUUGUUCAGUAAUUUCUCUACAUUCAUCAACCCCCAACUAAUUGAUCAUGCAUGAGGAUUUGCAACCACAAGGCAUUUUGGCCAUGGACUGACACACAUCACAUUAACAUUACCCCAGUGAUGUAAACACAAACAGACACUUUAGGGAUACGGAUCUGGCACCCUCUGUAUCUACAGGAAGUCAAGGGAGAUGAAUCCAAAAUGUGAGAACUGAAAGAAAAACAUUCCAGCAGAUGUUGUUGUCUUAAAAAACAAAUAAACUCGGGCUAAUGUGACUCUGGUCUCAUGGUCCCGUCGUUUCUUUUGUACUUUACAGCAUUGAACAGCCAGAGAAAAACAUCUUUCACUCUCUAUAAAGUACAGACAGAGUUUCACUGAUAAAAUGAGAAAAAAGCAGGUGAUUCCUCCUAAAAAUGAAACAAGCUGUCAGUGUGUGAAACCCUUAUAUCUCCAUCUAGUGGUGGAGAACGGAAAUUACAGAUGAGUCAGACUUGGCCUGAAUGACCUCUUGUUUAUGUUUCUCCACUUGUAUGUUUUCAUCUUCACGCCUUGAUGUGUAUUAAUAGUAAAUACAUAAGCGUGAACAUAAAUAAAAGUAGUAAAAUAUGUGUUCAAGUGUAUUUUUCACUGUUUUCUUCCUGCAGUGCGAGUCUUCUGCAUGUGUGUUUGUUAGCAUGUGUAUUGUUGUGUGUCUGUGCUGCAUGCAGAGUCCAGCUGCACUGUGAAUGUGCCAAAAGUACACAAAGUCCUCGACACAACAGCAUGACCAAACACCUCAGCUGCAGAGCUCCACCUCGCCUUCUAACUUUAACGUCAGCCACAAACAUUUCACACAGAAACCUCUCUGCUGCUUUCCUGCCUAUUCAUGAAACAUCUAAAAAAUGAAAGCUAACAUCAAACAGUCUGAUCUCAUUAUCCACGCUUGCAUUUUUGUUUGAAUUACUUCCUAAUAAUGCAGCUGAGCGCCCUUAAUAACCAGCAGAGAUUAAAUCAAAUCUAUUGUGAGUGACUCGGAUUUAAGUUAAGACUCUUUACAGGGUCUGACCUUUGCUCUACUGUUUUGACUUUCACAAAUAAACAGAUUCAAUCACAGAUAAAAAUGCAUUUAAAAGAUUAUAACAACAAAGCAUGCGUAUAAACUCUUAACUGGUUCAAGUGUAAUCGGUGACGUCUGGAAUCAGACGUUUCCAGUCAUGCAAUGAGAAAAUAUGAAUGGCAUGAGAAGCAGUUUAAUGCAUCUAUUUUGGGUAAGUGCUUUAGCUUUGAUCCAAAUACUUGUAGAUUCAUGCAAGUAACCACUUUAGCUUAUCCCUUAUUAAUUUAUAAAGACUAUUACUCCAAAAUGUGAUUAUUUAAAAUUGUCUUGACGGAUGAAAAGAAUGUGGAUGUAUAACACAGGUUUUCUUAUGUUUCAGUUUCAUUGUAACAUAUAAUUUAAAAAAGAACAGAUUUAAAUGUGUCUAUAAUAUUUUUCUGUAAAUGAAUAGAUUUAGUGUCUUAAUGAAAACACGUUUAACGUGCUGCUGUUACAAUCUUCGCUGGUUCUGAACCUUUGACCCCAUAAGACCAGAAAUGAAUCCCAGGAGAUGACACUGCUAAAAACGUCUGUCAAGUUUAUUUAUAGUUUUAUAUUCAGUUGAUUUCCAGACCAGCAAGUAUCUUACAGUACAUGACAUCACAGAUCUAUCACAAUCACACUCUAAAACACAUUUUGCCUUAAGAAACCAGACAUCACGAGCUCUUGGUGCAUCUUAAAGUAUACCCUGCUUUACUGCCCAUUUUACUCUAAAUUAACCCAUCACUGACAAAAUGAACAUCAUGUUGUAAGAAAUAUGACUUUAAACUGGUGACUGAGACCAUAAAUUUAACAGAAAAAUGUUUACUGUGGUCACAGAGUAAGAUAGAAAUAGAACUAGUUUCUGAUAUAUUUUUUGUACAGUUUGACCGCUCUUUGAGAGCUUCUUAGCAUUUACUGCCCCAGGAGAUCUUUGAGGUCAGCAGACUUGAUGCUUUUAGAUGUUCCCAGGUACAGAUUAAAGACUAGGGGAGAGAGGGCUUUUGCUGUGGCUGCACCCAGACUGUGGAACAGUCUACCCCCUCACAUCAGAUUCUCCACAAGCCUAGGAACUUUUAAAACUGCUCUUAAAACUCACCUAUUUUCACUGGCUUUUAGCAAGGUUUAACCUAUUGUUUUUAAUUUAUUGUUUUAUUUGUGAGGCAUUUUAUGUACCUGUGUUUUAUAGUAUUUUAUAUUUGUAUUUUAUUGUACAGCACUUUGGUCAGCCUCGGUUGUUUUUAAA